rnacentral:rRNA from 1 species
AUUGAACGCUGGCGGCAUGCUUUACACAUGCAAGUCGAACGGUAACAGGCCGCAAGGUGCUGACGAGUGGCGAACGGGUGAGUAAUGCAUCGGAACGUGCCCAGUCGUGGGGGAUAACUACUCGAAAGAGUAGCUAAUACCGCAUACGAUCUAUGGAUGAAAGCGGGGACCGUAAGGCCUCGCGCGAUUGGAGCGGCCGAUAUCAGAUUAGGUAGUUGGUGGGGUAAAGGCUCACCAAGCCAACGAUCUGUAGCUGGUCUGAGAGGACGACCAGCCACACUGGGACUGAGACACGGCCCAGACUCCUACGGGAGGCAGCAGUGGGGAAUUUUGGACAAUGGGCGCAAGCCUGAUCCAGCAAUGCCGCGUGCAGGAAGAAGGCCUUCGGGUUGUAAACUGCUUUUGUACGGAACGAAACGGCUCUGGUUAAUACCCGGGGCUAAUGACGGUACCGUAAGAAUAAGCACCGGCUAACUACGUG